AGAAUCAACGCUGGCGGCGUGCCUAACACAUGCAAGUCGAACGCGAAAGCCCCGCAAGGGGUCAGUAGAGUGGCAAACGGGUGAGUAACACGUGGGUGACCUGCCUUCGAGUGGGGGAUAACGUCCCGAAAGGGACGCUAGUACCGCAUGACAUCCUGCCUUUGGAAAGGUGGAGAUCAAAGCUGGGGAUCGCAAGACCUGGCGCUUGAAGAGGGGCCCGCGCCUGAUUAGCUAGUUGGUAGGGUAACGGCCUACCAAGGCGACGAUCAGUA
rnacentral:rRNA from 1 species